rnacentral:rRNA from 1 species
UACGGGGGGGGGUAAGCGUUGUUCGGAAUUACUGGGCGUAAAGGGCUCGUAGGCGGCCAACUAAGUCAUACGUGAAAUCCCUCGGCUUAACCGGGGAACUGCGUCUGAUACUGGAUGGCUUGAGUUUGGGAGAGGGAUGCGGAAUUCCAGGUGUAGCGGUGAAAUGCGUAGAUAUGCGGAGGAACACCGAUGGCGAAGGCAGUCCCCUGGGCCUGUACUGACGCUCAUGCACGAAAGCGUGGGGAGCAAACAGG